GUCUUUGAUGAUGAUGACCUUUUUUUUUCCCCGUCAUAUCGAUAUAUGAUGAUGCAUUUUUAUAAUGCCAAUUUGGUCUGAAUCAGAGAC